rnacentral:rRNA from 1 species
AGCGAACGCUGGCGGCAGGCCUAACACAUGCAAGUCGAACGAAGUCUUCGGACUUAGUGGCGGACGGGUGAGUAACACGUGGGAACGUGCCUUUAGGUUCGGAAUAACUCAGGGAAACUUGUGCUAAUACCGAAUGUGCCCUUCGGGGGAAAGAUUUAUCGCCUUUAGAGCGGCCCGCGUCUGAUUAGCUAGUUGGUGAGGUAAAGGCUCACCAAGGUUACGAUCAGUAGCUGGUCUGAGAGGAUGACCAACCACAUUGGGACUGAGACACGGCCCAAACUCCUACGGGAGGCAGCAGUGGGGAAUCUUGCGCAAUGGGCGAAAGCCUGACGCAGCCAUGCCGCGUGGAUGAUGAAGGUCUUAGGAUUGUAAAAUCCUUUCACCGGUGAAGAUAAUGACUGUAGCCGGAGAAGAAGCCCCGGCUAACUUCGUGCCAGCCGCCGCAGUAACAC